GACGAACGCUGGCGGCGUGCCUAAUACAUGCAAGUAGAACGCUGAAGAGAGGAGCUUACUCUUCUUGGAUGAGUUGCGAACGGGUGAGUAACGCGUAGGUAACCUGCCUUGUAGCGGGGGAUAACUAUUGGAAACGAUAGCUAAUACCGCAUAACAAUGGAUGACACAUGUCAUUUAUUUGAAAGGGGCAAUUGCUCCACUACAAGAUGGACCUGCGUUGUAUUAGCUAGUAGGUGAGGUAAUGGCUCACCUAGGCGACGAUACAUAGCCGACCUGAGGGGGUGAUCGGCCACACUGGGACGGAGACACGGCCCAGACUCCUACGGGAGGCAGCAGGAGGGAAUCUUCGGCAAUGGGAGCAACCCUGACCGAGCAACGCCGCGUGAGUGAAGAAGGUUUUCGGAUCGUAAAGCUCUGUUGUAAGUCAAGAACGGGUGUGAGAGUGGAAAGUUCACACUGUGACGGUAGCUUACCAGAAAGGGACGGCUAACUACGUG
rnacentral:rRNA from 1 species